UGGGGAAUCUUCCGCAAUGGACGAAAGUCUGACGGAGCAACGCCGCGUGAGUGAUGACGGCCUUCGGGUUGUAAAGCUCUGUUAAUCGGGACGAAAGGCCUUCUUGCGAAUAGUGAGAAGGAUUGACGGUACCGGAAUAGAAAGCCACGGCUAACUACGUGCCAGCAGCCGCGGUAAUACGUAGGUGGCAAGCGUUGUCCGGAAUUAUUGGGCGUAAAGCGCGCGCAGGCGGAUAGGUCAGUCUGUCUUAAAAGUUCGGGGCUUAACCCCGUGAUGGGAUGGAAACUGCCAAUCUAGAGUAUCGGAGAGGAAAGUGGAAUUCCUAGUGUAGCGGUGAAAUGCGUAGAUAUUAGGAAGAGCACCAGUGGCGAAGGCGACUUUCUGGACGAAAACUGACGCUGAGGCGCGAAAGCCAGGGGAGCGAACGGG
rnacentral:rRNA from 1 species